rnacentral:rRNA from 1 species
GAUCCUGGCUCAGGAUGAACGCUAGCUACAGGCUUAACACAUGCAAGUCGGGGGGAAACGACAUCGAAAGCUUGCUUCCGAUGGGCGUCGACCGGCGCACGGGUGAGUAACGCGUAUCCAACCUGCCCACCACUUGGGGAUAACCUUGCGAAAGUAAGACUAAUACCCAAUGAUAUCUCUAGAAGUCAUCUGAAAGAGAUUAAAGAUUUAUCGGUGAUGGAUGGGGAUGCGUCUGAUUAG